UGCAUGCCUCCGAAUAAGAGGAAGCAAUUCUCUCUGAAUCUGCGAACGGCUCCGCAAACCAGUUGUAAACUAUAGCAAGCCCGCCCGGGGUCCCUUCACGGGGGCUCUGGGCAACACGGAUAACCCUGGUAAUUCUGAGGCUAAUACGAGAACGUAAUACCUGGCUGACCGGGCAACUGGAAGGCUGGGAGACGUGCGAGUUGUGUCGCGAGAAUCUAUCGGGAAUGAACGCACGUCUGGACCGCGCUAAACACGGAUGGGUGCCCUUGCCUUCACGGGUCGGGGUGCCUGCCCGAGCGGCUCUUGCUGUGUGCUUCUGACCUAUCAACUAGACGGCAGCGUAAUGGACAUGCUAUGGUUACAACGGGUACAGAGGAUUAGGGUUCGAUCCUGGAGAGUGGGCCUGAGAGAUUGCUCAUACUUCUAAGGAAGGCAGCAGGCGCGCAACGUUCCCCUUGUGCAAUGCAUGAGGGCGUUAGGGGACAUAUGGAUGCCUGCCCAAUGGGUGGGCAAUUCAAAUGGGUCUGUUGUAAACAGGCUCUCGAGUAACAAUUAGAGGACAAGUCUGGUGCCAGCACCCGCGAAAACCGUGGGGAAAGUGUGAGAUUAAACCUCAUGCUAGUCGAGCCCUCAUUAUGCAUGUUAAGGGGGAACAACUCGGCAACAUCAUCAAAUUGCGGGAAGUUCCUAAAGCUCUCUCCUACCAAGCGCGCACCGAAAGGUGUGUUAAAAUGCAGNACGUUCGUACUCUCCAUAGANAGGAGCCUUGCACGUGGCCAGGGUAAUGACCUCGGGUAUGGUAACAACGGAGGAGAUUGGUGAUUCAGGGGGAUGGCUUUGCACAGGCCUACCAACCCCUUGCUUCCUAUACCAAAUGGAUAAUCCGCAGCCAAGUCCGUACGUACCACAUUGGGCUAGUACCUAUGCCAGGGAUGGCUUGGGAAUCCUCGGUGUGUUACAGGAUGCAGUUCAGAGACUAAAUGGUGGUGGGCGGGUGGGCAGGGGGGGGGAUUCGUCCCUUUCCCCAGCCUGCUUGCAUAAGAUAUAGUCCGGCUCCUGCGAAAGCAGGCCUACUUGACGAAGGGACCCAUGCAAUCCCCCGAGCUUGUAGGGCUAGGAGUAAUCCCUAGUAGAUGGUUGCCAAAAGCAAUGCGGUAAUUCCAGCUCUAAUAGCAUACGUUAAAGUUGUUGCGGUUAAAACGCUCGUAGUCGGCUUCAGAUCAUCAGAUGCCAGAGUCGUAAUCUCGGGUCCGCUGCCCUUCGGGGCGCGCUGGGUGCGUGACGAUGGCGGGCGGUGGUCAAGCGUGCCUCCGGUCGUCCUUCGGGUCACAGGGGCGGCUUCGGCUGCUCUGGCUGGGGGUGCCACUUACCAUGACCAAACUGGGUUGAUCAAGUAAGGUCGUUCGAUCUUGCACAGCACAGCAUGGCAUAAAGGUAACUGGCCUGGUCCUUCUCGCGAGGGGCUGGGCUGGUAAAAGCGAUAGGGGUGUUCGAGGGUGACCGAAUUGCCGGGCGAGUGGUGAAAUACGUUGACCCUGGCAAGUCGACCAAAGGCGAAAGCAGUCAUCAAGGGCACGCCCGUUGAUCAAGAGCGAAAGUUAAGGGUUCGAAGACGAUCAGAUACCGUCGUAGUCUUAACUAUAAAUGAUACUGACCAGGGAUAGGACUCUGUCCAUCUCGACUUCUCCUGGACCUUAGAGAAAUUACAGUCUUUGAGUUCUGGGGGGAGUAUGGUCGCAAGGCUGAAACUUAAAGGAAUUGACGGAAGGGCACACAAAGAGUGGAACCUGCGGCUUAAUUUGACUCAACACGGGAAAACUCACCAGGUCCAGAUACACGUAUGAAAGACAAGCUGAAAGACUUUUCUCAAUGAUGUAAGUGGUGGUGCAUGGUCGUUCUUAGUUCGUGGAUUGAUUUGUCUGGUCUAUUCCGAUAACGAGCGAGACCCCAACGUUCCUAAUAGGGGCGGCAGCCCGGCUCGCCUGUUCGCAGGCUUGCUAGCAGCCGCCUUAUUAGCUUCUUAGACGUAUCAGAGCCGAAAAGGUUCUUGAAAUGGGUUAAUAACAGGUCAGUCAUGCCCUUAGAUGUUCUGGGCCGCACGCGCGUUACAAUGGUAUACAUUAGAACGUGCUCUUUAGUGGCGUCUCCACGGCCGACGGGUCGUGGUAACCCCUAAUCUCUCCCUUGACUGGGACAGACUAUUGCAAUUAUUGGUCUCCAACGAGGAAUUUUUAGUAGUCGCAGGUCAUUAACCUGCGACGAAUGCGUCCCUGCCCUUCGGUGUCCCCGUGUUAGUAGCUGCCUUUGCCGCCCCCCCUCUUCGCCCCCAUGACCUCUGUCAGUAUUCCCUUCGUUCCUGCCCCUAUUUGCCCACCUUCCCCGACGGGGGAACGGGGGGUAAGGGGCGGGCGUGUCGGGAAUCAGGAGCUAUUGGGAGUGGGGAGGGGGGGAAAAAGGGGCGGCCAACGCCGGGGAUUCAGGGGGCAAAAAGGGUGGUUGUCCCCAGCGACUUCUGCCCUAGUCCGGUCCACACGGGAUAAGAGAGGCUUGUACGGAGUAGUGUCCUGACGAGCCCCUAACCUUCCCUGACGGCCAGGCCGAAUCAACGGUCGAGCAAGGCAAGGCGAGACUCACUACCUCAUCUGCCAUGCAGGGCAACACCAGCAAACUGCGGGAACGUCCCUACGCGACUCCACCUACCAACCGAACGCUUGAAAAGGCUUCGGGGCCGAGGGUAACUCCCUUGGGUACGGUAACAACGGUGGGGUAGCAGGAUUACUUGCAGCCAAACCCUCUCAUUUGCCCUUGUUUCGGCAAGGGCACNUGUGGGUCCAGUUCACUGACUAGAAGCUGGUGGGUGGUCAAACAAACCCGUGAAACAUACACGGUAAGGCUCGCCUAAGAUGUAGUCGCACAAAAGCAGGGUAGAGCUUAUAGAAAUCUAUCCCGCCCUCUGUCAGUCCCCAAGCCCUUAUUGACUGGNCCACACGGGCAUUAGGGUCGAUCUUUUGAAAAGGCAAUUUGCCUUUUGGUUUGCCAAUGGGAAGCCCCGGGAAUACGGAAACAACGUUGUACACACCGCCCGUCGCUGCUACCGAUUGGGUUUUGCGGUUACGAGUUCGGAGACCGUGGCUCUCCGCCUUCUUCGGGAGGUGGAUACCGCGGUCGAAGUUCAUAAUUACCGCACGGCCUAGAGGAAGCAGAAGUCGUAACAAG
rnacentral:rRNA from 1 species